rnacentral:rRNA from 1 species
UACGUAGGGGGCAAGCGUUAUCCGAAUUUACUGGGUGUAAAGGGAGCGUAGACGGCAGCGCAAGUCUGGAGUGAAAUGCCGGGGCCCAACCCCGGAACUGCUUUGGAAACUGUGCAGCUCGAGUGCAGGAGAGGUAAGCGGAAUUCCUAGUGUAGCGGUGAAAUGCGUAGAUAUUAGGAGGAACACCAGUGGCGAAGGCGGCUUACUGGACUGUAACUGACGUUGAGGCUCGAAAGCGUGGGGAGCAAACAGG